rnacentral:rRNA from 1 species
GACGAACGCUGGCGGCGUGCUUAACACAUGCAAGUCGAACGGAAAGGCCCUGCUUUUGUGCGGUUCUCGAUUGGCGAACGCGUGAAUAACACGUGUGUAACCUGCCCUUGACUUUGGGAUAACUUCAGGAAACUGGGGCUAAUAUCGGAUAGGAUCUCCUGCUCCAUGGUGGGGGUUGGAAAGUUUCGGCGGUUGGGGAUGGACUCGCGGCUUCUCAGCUUGUUGGUGGGGUAGUGGCUGACCAAGGCUUUGACGGGUAGCCGGCAUGAGAGGGUGACCGGCCACAAUGGGACUGAGAGACGGCGCAGACUGGUACGGGCGGCAGCAGUGGGGAAUAUGACACAGUGGGCGGAAGCGUGAUGCAGCAGCGCCGCGUGCGGAAAGACGUCUUUCUGGGUAAGAACAGCUGUCGCAUGUGACGAAGCGUGAGUGACGGUAAUGAGUAAAGAAGCACCGGCUAACUACGUG